CUAACAUUAACUUAAAUGUUAGCUACAGGUAGGCCUAACGGUGCAUGGACACUAGAUAAGAGAUAAAUUGCCGCGUGUCGCUCAGGUCGCACAUUGUGACUCGCUUGUGGGCGUGCUGGCAGCAUGUGGCAGCAUGUUCGAUUGUGCGUCAAGAAUUCAGCAUAGCAAGUUUGUAUGAACGUCUGGUUAUUAAAUGGGUACAUAGUUCAAUAGUAAUAUCCUCUAAAACGCUCCAGUGACAAACUAACUUUGCUGCCCUGUUUCAAAUUAUCUACAUGACUGGGAGAACCUAUUCAAGUAAAGUGUUCUGUCCUCAGAUAAAGAGAGCUAUGAAAGCCGGUCUACAUAUGAAGAGCAGUGGUUCUCAGUCCUGGGGUCUCAAAAGGGGUGCACAUUUUUGUUUUUGCCUUAGCACUGCACAGCUAAUUCAGUUGAUCAACUCAUCAAGCUUCUAGUGGUAUUUCUGUAUUCAUUCUUUGAUAUGAUCCUGUUAUUGUCACAUGCUAUAUAUGCACGUGUGUGCCCAUUCAUCUUGAUAUCCAAUGUUUUCAUGAGUUGUUAUAAGGGAUAUUAUACUUUAGUAAUCCACAAUGACCCAGUGAUGUAAAAGUCUAAUAAUUACAUUGUCUUCCAUAUUACUACAG
ensembl:lncRNA